rnacentral:rRNA from 1 species
AAUAGAUACCCUGGUAGUCCACGCCGUAAACGUUGGAUACUAGGUGUGGCGGUUAUACCAAUGACUGCCGUGCCGAAGCUAACGCAUUAAGUAUCCCGCCUGGGGAGUACGGCCGCAAGGCUAAAACUCAAAGGAAUUGACGGGUCCCCGCACAAGCGGCGGAGCAUGCGGCUUAAUUCGAUGCAACCCGAAGAACCUUACCUGGGUUUGACAUCACGGGAAAAGCUGUAGAAAUACAGUGUCCAUUAGGGCCCGUGACAGGUGGUGCAUGGCUGUCGUCAGCUCGUGUCGUGAGAUGUUGGGUUAAGUCCCGCAACGAGCGCAACCCUUGUCCUAUGUUGCCAGCGGUUCGGCCGGGGACUCAUAGGAGACUGCCGGGGAUAACUCGGAGGAAGGUGAGGACGACGUCAAGUCAUCAUGCCCCUUAUAUCCAGGGCUGCACGCAUGCUACAAUGGCCGGUACAACGGGCAGCGACCCCGGCGAGGGUGAGCGAAUCCUAAAAAGCCGGUCCUAGUUCGGAUUGAAGUCUGCAACUCGA